UUGAAUAUAAAGAAAAGACGAACAGCUCAGUAACUCUUAUUUUAUUUGAUGUAUUAGGAUAAUAACUAUGUUAAAUUAUAGAUAAUAAUAAUACAAUAAGAAUAAGAUCUAUCAGUUAGUUGUUAAGGUAAUGGCUUAACAAGACUAUGACGGAUAACGGUAUUACUUUGUAAUAUUCCGGAGAAGGAGCCUGAGAGAUUGCUACUAAGUCUAAGGAUUGCAGCAGGGGCGAAACUUGACCUAUGAUAUUAUAUUGAGGCAGUUAUGAGUAGUAUUUUUAAUUAUUGUAAUAUUGUAAGUAUAUAUUACAAGAUAAAUCGGAGGGCAAAUCGAGUGCCAGCAGCCGCGGUAAUACUUGUUCCGAUAGUGUGUAUGAUGAUUGAUGCAGUUAAAAAGUCUGUAGUUUAUUUUAUAAUAAGCAUUGUGAGGUAUAUUGUAUGGUUAGGAGAGAGAUGAAAUGUGAUAACCCUAACUGGAUGAACAGAAGCGAAAGCUAUAUACUUAAAUGUAUUAUUAGAACAAGGACGUAAGCUAGAGGAUCGAAGAUGAUUAGAUACCAUUGUAGUUCUAGCAGUAAACUAUGUUAAAUCAUAGAUAUACUUUUAAUGUAUAUUUAUGUAGAGAAAUUAAGAUUAUAUUGACUCUGGGGAUAGUAUGAUCGCAAGAUUGAAAAUUAAAGAAAUUGACGGAAGAAUACCACAAGGAGUGGAUUGUGC
rnacentral:rRNA from 1 species